UGUCCAGCAACUCCUAUCCCUACCUCCACGCGGUACCGGCCGGAAAUUAUGAGCAACCUUAGGGAAGA
rnacentral:ribozyme from 1 species